GUGAGAGAGGGGCAUUGUGGGAAAGGGAGAGAAGAAUGUGAGUGAGAGAAGGUCAUUGUGGGAAAGGGAUAGAAGAAUGUGAGUGAGAGAGGGGCAUUGUGGGAAAGGGAUAGAAGAAUGUGAGUGAGAGAGGGGCAUUGUGGGAAAGGGAUAGAAGAAUGUGAGUGAGAGAAGGGCAUUGUGGGAAAGGGA